AUUGAACGCUGGCGGCAGGCCUAACACAUGCAAGUCGAGCGAGCGGCGGACGGGUGAGUAAUGUAUGGGGACUGCCCGAUAGAGGGGGAUAAAUACUGGAAACGGUAGCUAAUAACGCAUACUAUCGGAGACUCCCUAGGGGAUUAGCUAGUAGGUGAGGUAAUGGCUCACGUAGGCGACGAUCCCUAGCUGGUAUGAGAGGAUGAUCAGCCACACUGGGACUGAGACACGGCCCAGACUCCGACGGAGGCAGCCGUGGGGAAUAUUGCACAAUGGGCGCAAGCCUGAUGCAGCCAUGUCGCGUGUAUGAAGAAGGCCCUAGGGUUGUAAAGUACUUUCAGUCGGGAGGCGUUACCGACAGAAGAAGCACCGGCUAACUCCGUGCCAGCCGCCGCGGUAAUAC
rnacentral:rRNA from 1 species